rnacentral:rRNA from 1 species
ACGGGUGGUAAUGCCGGAUGCUCCAGUUGAUCGCAUGGUCUUCUGGGAAAGCUUUCGCGGUAUGGGAUGGGGUCGCGUCCUAUCAGCUUGACGGCGGGGUAACGGCCCACCGUGGCUUCGACGGGUAGCCGGCCUGAGAGGGCGACCGGCCACAUUGGGACUGAGAUACGGCCCAGACUCCUACGGGAGGCAGCAGUGGGGAAUAUUGCACAAUGGGCGCAAGCCUGAUGCAGCGACGCCGCGUGAGGGAUGGAGGCCUUCGGGUUGUAAACCUCUUUUAUCGGGGAGCAAGCGAGAGUGAGUUUACCCGUUGAAUAAGCACCGGCUAACUACGUGCCAGCAGCCGCGGUAAUACGUAGGGUGCAAGCGUUAUCCGGAAUUAUUGGGCGUAAAGGGCUCGUAGGCGGUUCGUCGCGUCCGGUGUGAAAGUCCAUCGCUUAACGGUGGAUCCGCGCCGGGUACGGGCGGGCUUGAGUGCGGUAGGGGAGACUGGAAUUCCCGGUGUAACGGUGGAAUGUGUAGAUAUCGGGAAG